rnacentral:tRNA from 1 species
GGGAGCGUGGCGUAAUGGUAGCGCGCGUAAUAUAGGGGUUAGACAUAAUCCCUAACAGCAACUUUUUAUGUGCAUAGAAAGCCCGAGGUUGCAGGUUCGAAUCCUGCCGCUCCCA